GUGUCAGCCGCCGCGGUAAUACGAAGGGGGCUAGCGUUGUUCGGAAUCACUGGGCGUAAAGCGCACGUAGGCGGAUCUUUAAGUCAGGGGUGAAAUCCCGAGGCUCAACCUCGGAACUGCCUUUGAUACUGGGGAUCUCGAGUCCGGGAGAGGUGAGUGGAACUGCGAGUGUAGAGGUGAAAUUCGUAGAUAUUCGCAAGAACACCAGUGGCGAAGGCGGCUCACUGGCCCGAUACUGACGCUGAGGCGCGAAAGCGUGGGGAGCAAACAGGAUUAGAUACCCGAGUAGUCC
rnacentral:rRNA from 1 species